rnacentral:rRNA from 1 species
CGGAGUCUGCAACCCGACUCCGUGAAGCUGGAUUCGCUAGUAAUCGCGCAUCAGCCAUGGCGCGGUGAAUACGUUCCCGGGCCUUGUACACACCGCCCGUCAAGCCAUGGGAGCCGGGGGGUGCUUGAAGUGCGUCGCCGCAAGGCGCGCCCUAGAGCAAAACCGGUGACUGGGGCUAAGUCGUAACAAGGUAGC